rnacentral:rRNA from 1 species
ACUACGGUUACGUUCCGUUCCGGUUCGGGUAAGGUUUGGUAGUCCGUUCGGCGUACCGAAGGAACGGAACGGACCGUGGUCGGGGCCGGUGGCCGUAACCAACCAUAGCGAAGUACGGAGCGGGGUUGGUAAGACGAGGGGUAACGUACGAGUUUCGUUACCUAGCGGCGGACGGGUGGAGGUAACGCGUGGGCAACCUGCCUCAAGGACUGGGAUAACAGCUCGAAAGGGCUGCUAAUACCGGAUAAGCCUAUGGCCUCGCAUGGGGCCAUGAGCAAAGGGGAAACCCGCCUUGAGAUGGGCCCGCGUCCCAUCAGCUAGUUGGUGAGGUGAAGGCUCACCAAGGCGACGACGGGUAGCCGGCCUGAGAGGGUGACCGGCCACACUGGGACUGAGACACGGCCCAGACUCCUACGGGGGGCAGCAGUGGGGAAUCUUGCACAAUGGGCGAAAGCCUGAUGCAGCGACGCCGCGUGAGCGAAGAAGGCCUUCGGGUUGUAAAGCUCUGUCUGGAGGGACGAAGGAAGUGACGGUACCUCCGGAGGAAGCCACGGCUAACUACGUG